GUCAGAGUCACAGUGACUGAACUGAUACUGCAGCUGCUCACACACUUUCACACACACUCAACAGUGAAAAUUUUCAUAAAUAUUAAAUUAGCAUUCAUUAAACUCUAUAGAUGCUAAAUACUUUAAUCUAUAACACUCUUUAUCCUAUUAAAUGUAUCUAACACUGUAUCUAUGAGGUUCAUAAUUUGGCCACAUGUUCUUGUUUCAUCAUGUAUCUGCAGGUGUUUUCGUGCUCCAUUGAGUGAAGUUUAUUUAUAAAAUGUGAACUAAAGAUCCAGUGAAGGACCCAGAAAAAAAUGACACAAAAAAAGAAAAACAAAGACACAAAGUUACAGUUUUAUUUUAUUUAUUGACUGAAUUUUAAUGUAACAAUGACUGAAUGAUAAAUCACACAUCUAGUCUUGUGUGAAAGGCAGAAAGCAGAGCAGAUGCAGAUGAAGCGACUGAAGCUGAUGUGGAGAAUGAAUGAGUCCCUCAUGUGCUGCAGAGAAACACACUGUUGGUCUCCAUGUGAGACAUGAGUGAGAAGAGCAGCAGAUCUCCUCUGAACACUGCCGUCUCCUCACACUGGGAGAAAUUCUCCAACAGCGAGAGAAACAACAUGAAGAAGAAAACAGUCAAAGAAAAUCACAUCAUUAUUCCAUAAACACAUUAAUGCUCACAAACUACUCAUGAAAAGAGUAAAUGUUCAGAAUACGUUUCAUAUUUUGGUAAAUAUGCUGAUUAAUUAUGAAAUAACUUAAAAAGGAAAUAUCACUGAGUUUUGAAUCACAAAAAUUCAAAUACCAUUUUCUGUUUUACAGAAACUAAAAGGCUAUAACAUGUACAUUUUACAUCUUUAAAACUCUCAGCAGUCACAUAAAUAUUUUAUUGAACAAAAAUGAUGAAAUUAGAAAUUAUUAGCAAUUAUUUUAUUUUAACAAGUUGGGAAAAAGAAGAUGAGUGACAGAAAAUAACUCUAAAAUAUCAAACUUCAACUCAACAGUUUUACAUAUACCAAAAAAAGACAAAUAAUAGUCCAAAAGAAAUAGCAAAUUCAAGCCUUUUUCUUCCUAUAAAUAAAUGUGAUAAUUUGUGUGAAAACUUUCAAAUAAACUUUAUAUGAUAUACAACUGAACACUGACAUAUCCCAGGUAAUUCAUGAGAAUAUGAGUUGAGUGUUUGAUGAGGAAAAAUGAAGUUUUUUAAUUGUAUUAUCUGUCAUUUCCACUCUGCUGUCAGUGUCUGUGACACAUUUGAGAGGAAACGCUUUGAAUUUGUGUCCCACCCCUGUGAUUGGAGCUCAAUAUCAGAGCGUCUGUCAGUCCGACUGUAAAUCCAACAUCACUGUCCUUCAGUUUCACUCAUUCCCAGUAAAGAUGAGGACACACGCUCUGAUCAUCUGCUCUCUGCUGCUGCUGCUCAACGAGUGUAGAGGACAGAUCACCGUCACUCAGAGUCCCUCAAUGACAGCAGCUCAACCAGGACAAACUGUGAACAUCAACUGUAAAA